UCCUACUGCAGUUUCAUAUGCAAAGCAUGCAUCAGCCACAUCCAUGCUAUCUCCUAAAGCAGUCAUUCUGAAACCCAAUCUGGGGACAGUGCAGACUAAAUAAAAUUUCAUUUUGAUUUGGCCUCCCGCUGCGAAUGGGACUGCUUUGUCUCAGCCGACAGAACCAGCAAGCCAGAAAGGGAAUGAAGACAUUUGGAGAAGAAGCGUUUACUGAAAGGAGAUUCCUGGGCUGGAGGAAAACCAUGAUCUACAGUUCAUGUUGACAGAUAUUGUAUUUUUGGUCCUAGAUCUGACUUUUGAAAUGACUUAUCACAAAUUCAAAUUUAGCAAUCAUGAGUGAAGUACCCACGAUGUGCUAAGCAUCUACCUCUGCAGAUAGAAGAACACUUACUGUUCCUGAGCAUGGGAGGGAAUAGAAGUUCCUGGGUCCUGGCCUCACCUCAUCAGGCACUGCCAAAUUUGACACCUCCUUCCUGUUCACGGCAGUCCUUUGCGAUAGGGUAUUAGAUGCCACCAAGUAGCUGCAUAACUCACCCAUUUGGUCAGAGCCUGGGUCUAAGCCAGGUCUGACAGACUCCAAAGCAAGCCCUGUUUACAGCAUGACUGGGAUCCAGUGGACGAGGGAACUGAGCUGUCAAAACUAAGUGACUUGAUUGAGGCCAUGCAGCUGGCGAGGGGAGGACCAGGAUCUGAACCCAACUGGGUCUCCCAAGCCUGGGCCACUGAACCAUUUCACCUCUUGGAAAAACUUAAUGGUCAGAGUGGCCCACCCAGUCCAUGGACAGCAUGGAGUGGUAUGGUGGAAGAGGAGGGAAGAAAACCUGUGUAUUGUAAGUCAUAUUCUUCUAUGGUGUGAAGGUUAACGUAAGUUUUAAGAAAGUUUUUUUUUUUAAUUUUAUUAUAUGAUCUUGCUCUAAAGGGAUGUAAAUUCAGAUGCUGAAUUGCACACAUCCUUUCUCUUUCAUAUUUUCAAUAUUGAACGUAAUUUCAAUAUUUAACAUAAAACAAUGAGUACAUUGUCUCCACCUCAUUGUUUUUGGGUGGUGUUUGUGAGGAGCCUGCGUUCUUUGGAAGGAAGACCUUUCAGAUGACCUGACCAGUCCUCCUCUUCAGAACCCGGAUGCUGGCGAAGCAGUUUGAAUUUUAUGCUUGUGAAAGGGCUCCGUUGAUGAUUUUGAUGUCUGCAGCUUUCCACCCGUAUGACCAGACACAUUCUCACCAGCUCCAUAUAUCAAGAUAAGGAGGGGAAACCUGGUAGCUUUUCCUUCUGUUAACUGCUGGCAUCAGCUGAGUGAUGCAGACAUUUCUCUAUUAAGAACUGAGCUGAGACUGAAGCUUCAUUUUGUAUGAGACUGUGCAGAGGUCGUCUAAAGUCUCUCCCAGGUGUGGUUAUUAAGAUCCUGGAUUUGAAACUGUGACCUACUGGUUUGCCAGAUGCCAAGAACAAAUGCUCUGAAAUUGAUUUGCCAAAAGACAUGAUGAGCUGCUCUAACUUGCCUGGGAAGAGUGGAAUAUUUAACCUGUGGGUGAGACUCCCUCUUGCUACCUAUCAGCUUUGCCACUGCUCUGAUAGAGAAACAUCUUGGGAGCAGAGUUGGUAAGAGUGAAUCAGACGUAUCUGCCGGAAUAGGACUCGUGGCACCUGCUUGUUCGAUCCCUCAUUUCCACCCCCUCUAUCCUUUGCCUAUUGUCAGUCAUUGUGGUUGGUCCAUUCAGAAGAAUCGUGAAUAUUCAUAGCCACCCUAAUUUACCAAUAUAUAUUCAAUAAUGUCAGAGAUCUGUACAUGUGAUUCCUGAGCUUAUUACAGUAACAAGUUUCUCCAAUGCUACUGG
rnacentral:lncRNA from 1 species